GACGAACGCUGGCGGCGUGCCUAAUACAUGCAAGUCGAACGCAGUGGGGACGGGUGAGUAACACGUGGGUAACCUCCCAUCAGAGGGGAUAACACUUGGCAACAGGUGCUAAACCGAUACUGAUGGAUGGACCCGCGGUGCAUUAACUAGUUGGUGGGUUAACGGCUCACCAAGGACACGAAGCAUAGCCGACCGGGUAGGGUGAUGGGCAACACUGGGACUGAGACACGGCACAUACGCCGACGAGAGGCAGCAGUAGGGAAUCUACGGAAAGGGACAAAAGUCGGACCGAGCAACGCCGCGUGAGUGAAGACGGUUUUCGAAUCUAAAACCUCUGUUGUAAGAAAAACGUUAUCUAACCAGAAGGCCACGGCUAACUACGUGCAAGCAGCCGGGGUAAUAC
rnacentral:rRNA from 1 species